UCUCCAUGGAUGAUAGUUUCAACCUCGGAAGCUUUGCGGGAAUGGCCUUGAUGUUUGGAGGACUCUACUUCGUUCUCUGGGCUAAAGGGAAAGAGGAGUGUGGAGAAGGAGAUGAAGUAAAAGAAGAUGAAGAAGAAAGUGUUAGAACAGAGUUUGACCUUGAGAAGCCUCUCUUGCGUUAAAGUCUUGUUUUCUUAAUGUUCAUGUUAGUUUGGUUAUGUUUGAAGAAGUAAGAUCAGUUUUACUUUAUAGAAUAGAAUUAUGUAUUUAUUUUAGAUAUACAACAGAACUAUCACUUUACUUAUAUAUUUGUCAUGUAAUAUGGGUUGAACA